rnacentral:rRNA from 1 species
CCCCGUGAACCUUUACUAUAGCUUGACACUGAACAUUGAGCCUUGAUGUGUAGGAUAGGUGGGAGGCUUUGAAGUGUGGACGCCAGUCUGCAUGGAGCCGACCUUGAAAUACCACCCUUUAAUGUUUGAUGUUCUAACGUGGACCCGUGAUCCGGGUUGCGGACAGUGUCUGGUGGGUAGUUUGACUGGGGCGGUCUCCUCCUAAAGAGUAACGGAGGAGCACGAAGGUUGGCUAAUCCUGGUCGGACAUCAGGAGGUUAGUGCAAUGGCAUAAGCCAGCUUGACUGCGAGCGUGACGGCGCGAGCAGGUGCGAAAGCAGGUCAUAGUGAUCCGGUGGUUCUGAAUGGAAGGGCCAUCGCUCAACGGAUAAAAGGUACUCCGGGGAUAACAGGCUGAUACCGCCCAAGAGUUCAUAUCGACGGCGGUGUUUGGCACCUCGAUGUCGGCUCAUCACAUCCUGGGGCUGAAGUAGGUCCCAAGGGUAUGGCUGUUCGCCAUUUAAAGUGGUACGCGAGCUGGGUUUAGAACGUCGUGAGACAGUUCGGUCCCUAUCUGCCGUGGGCGCUGGAGAACUGAGGGGGGCUGCUCCUAGUACGAGAGGACCGGAGUGGACGCAUCACUGGUGUUCGGGUUGUCAUGCCAAUGGCACUGCCCGGUAGCUAAAUGCGGAAGAGAUAAGUGCUGAAAGCAUCUAAGCACGAAACUUGCCCCGAG